rnacentral:rRNA from 1 species
UACGUAGGGGGCAAGCGUUGUCCGGAUUUAUUGGGCGUAAAGCGCGUGUAGGCGGCCAUACAGGUCCGUUGUGAAAACUCGAGGCUUAACCUCGAGACGUCGAUGGAAACCGUAUGGCUAGAGUCCGGAAGAGGAGAGUGGAAUUCCUGGUGUAGCGGUGAAUGACGUAGAUAUCGAAGGAACGAAUCAGCGGCUGGAAGCGAGCUC